rnacentral:tRNA from 1 species
GCCGCGAUAGUUUAGUGGUAGAAUUGGGGACUGUGGAUCCCCUGGCCCGGGUUCGAUUCCCGGUCGCGGCC